rnacentral:rRNA from 1 species
GGGUGCGAUCAUACCAGCACUAAUGCACCGGAUCCCAUCAGAACUCCGCAGUUAAGCGUGCUUGGGCGAGAGUAGUACUUGGAUGGGUGACCUCCUGGGAAGUUCUCGUGUUGCACCCCU